CAGCAGCCGCGGUAAUACAGAGGGUGCAAGCGUUGUUCGGAAUUACUGGGCGUAAAGCGUGCGUAGUCGGUAUUGAGAGUCACGGGUGAAAUCCCAGGGCUUAACCCUGGAACUGCCUGUGAGACCUCAGUACUAGAGUGUGAGAGGGGAUAGUGGAAUACCCAGUGUAGCGGUGAAAUGCGUAGAGAUUGGGUGGAACACCGGUGGCGAAGGCGGCUAUCUGGCUCACAACUGACGAUCAGGCACGAAAGCGUGGGGAGCAAACAGGAUUAGAUACCCUGGUAGUCCACGCCGUAAACUAUGCACACAAGCUGUAGUGGGAUUUUACUCCUGCUGUGGCGAAGCUAACGCAAUUAGUGUGCCGCCUGGGGAGUACGGUCGCAAGACUAAAACUCAAAUAAAUUGACGG
rnacentral:rRNA from 1 species